UACGAAGGGGGCUAGCGUUGCUCGGAAUCACUGGGCGUAAAGCGCACGUAGGCGGAUCUUUAAGUCAGGGGUGAAAUCCUGGAGCUCAACUCCAGAACUGCCUUUGAUACUGGGGAUCUCGAGUCCGGAAGAGGUGAGUGGAACUCCGAGUGUAGAGGUGAAAUUCGUAGAUAUUGGGAGGAACACCGGUGGCGAAGGCGGCCCCCUGGACCGGAACUGACGCUGAGGCGCGAAAGCGUGGGUAGCAAACGGG
rnacentral:rRNA from 1 species